AGGGUUAGGCCACCGGCUUCGGGUGUUACCGACUUUCAUGACUUGACGGGCGGUGUGUACAAGGCCCGGGAACGUAUUCACCGCAGCGUUGCUGAUCUGCGAUUACUAGCGACUCCGACUUCAUGAGGUCGAGUUGCAGACCUCAAUCCGAACUGAGACCGGCUUUUUGGGAUUCGCUCCACCUUACGGUAUCGCAGCCCUUUGUACCGGCCAUUGUAGCAUGCGUGAAGCCCAAGACAUAAGGGGCAUGAUGAUUUGACGUCAUCCCCACCUUCCUCCGAGUUGACCCCGGCAGUCUCCUAUGAGUCCCCGCCAUAACGCGCUGGCAACAUAGAACGAGGGUUGCGCUCGUUGCGGGACUUAACCCAACAUCUCACGACACGAGCUGACGACAACCAUGCACCACCUGUACACCGACCACAAGGGGGCGACCAUCUCUGGCCGUUUCCGGUGUAUGUCAAGCCUUGGUAAGGUUCUUCGCGUUGCAUCGAAUUAAUCCGCAUGCUCCGCCGCUUGUGCGGGCCCCCGUCAAUUCCUUUGAGUUUUAGCCUUGCGGCCGUACUCCCCAGGCGGGGCGCUUAAUGCGUUAGCUACGACACAGAAACCGUGGAAAGGUCCCUACAUCUAGCGCCCAACGUUUACGGCGUGGACUACCAGGGUAUCUAAUCCUGUUCGCUCCCCACGCUUUCGCUCCUCAGCGUCAGUUACGGCCCAGAGAUCUGCCUUCGCCAUCGGUGUUCCUCCUGAUAUCUGCGCAUUCCACCGCUACACCAGGAAAUUCCAAUCUCCCCUACCGCACUCUAGUCUGCCCGUACCCACUGCAAGCCCGAGGUUUGAGCCUCGGGAUUUCACAGCAGACGCGACAAACCGCCUACGAGCUCUUUACGCCCAAUAUUCCUGACGACGCUGC
rnacentral:rRNA from 1 species